CAAGUACUCCCUCCGCCCGGAAUUACUUGUCAUCAAAAUGGAUGUGUCUAGAACUAAAAUACAUCUAGAUACAUCCAUUUCAAUGACAAGUAUUUUUGGACGGAGGGAGUACAAG
rnacentral:pre_miRNA from 1 species